GCCGCAUAUGGCACAUUGAGCUGUGUAAAUUGCAGCAGCAGCUAACAAAGAAGGGGGAAACUUGAGCAUUGGAUACUCUACCAGGCACAAUUCUAUCAUGAAGAAUGAUAGAAGCUCAAGCUGAAUCAAUGUCAUGAUUGAGCAGCUUUGAGAAAUCUUCUCAUAAACACAUAUGGCGUGGGAACUGAUAGAUUGAAUUGCAAAGUAUUGAUCAUUAGCUUCUCCUGCAAGCAUAUAUUACAGCUAGAAGUAGGGCCGUAACCCCAACCAACUGAAGUUUCUUCCUUGGCACAGAAUGAACGGCUAAAAAUCUAUCAAUCAAGUUGACCGUAAGAUACAAUGUCUCAUCCAUUAAUUCAAACUUGUAGUGGACCUGUAAUUUGCACUAAAUGGUCAGAGAAUCCAUUGAAGAGGAAUUCGUUGGAUAUAAUAACAUCAUGAAAGCAGCAAUUUAAGUACCUCUAUUAGCCAGUCAAUCA